rnacentral:rRNA from 1 species
GACGAACGCUGGCGGCGCGCCUAACACAUGCAAGUCGAGCGAUGAACAUUGAAUGAUCCCUUCGGGGUGAUUUCGAUCGGAUUAGCGGCGAACGGGUGAGUAACGCGUGAGGAACCUGCCUCUUACAACGGGAUAGCCUCGGGAAACCGGGAUUAAUACCGUAUAAGACUCCGACAUCUCCUGAUGAUGAAGUCAAAGCGUUAGCGGUAAGAGAUGGCCUCGCGUCUGAUUAGCUUGUUGGCGGGGUAACGGCCCACCAAGGCGACGAUCAGUAACCGGCCUGAGAGGGUGAACGGUCACAUUGGAACUGAGACACGGUCCAAACUCCUACGGGAGGCAGCAGUGGGGAAUCUUGCACAAUGGGGGCAACCCUGAUGCAGCGACGCCGCGUGAGCGAUGAAGGUUUUCGAAUCGUAAAGCUCUGUCCUAUGGGAAGAUAAUGACGGUACCAUGGGAGGAAGCCCCGGCUAACUACGUGCCAGCCGCCGCAGUAA